AUGACUCUCUCCAGUCUAUAAUAGGUGAUAUGACUCUCUCCAGUCUAUAAUAGGUGAUAUGACUCUCUCCAGUCUAUAAUAGGUGAUAUGACUCUCUCCAGUCUAUAAUAGGUGAUAUGACUCUUCAGUCUAUAAUAGGUGAUAUGACUCUCCAGUCUAUAAUAGGUGAUAUGACUCUCUCCAGUCUAUAAUAGGUGAUAUGACUCUCUCCAGUCUAUAAUAGGUGAUAUGACUCUUCAGUCUAUAAUAGGUGAUAUGACUCUCUCCAGUCUAUAAUAGGUGAUAUGACUCUCUCCAGUCUAUAAUAGGUGAUAUGACUCUCUCCAGUCUAUAAUAGGUGAUAUGACUCUCUCCAGUCUAUAAUAGGUGAUAUGACUCUCUCCAGUCUAUAAUAGGUGAUAUGACUCUCUCCAGUCUAUAAUAGGUGAUAUGACUCUUCAGUCUAUAAUAGGUGAUAUGACUCUCCAGUCUAUAAUAGGUGAUAUGACUCUCUCCAGUCUAUAAUAGGUGAUAUGACUCUCUCCAGUCUAUAAUAGGUGAUAUGACUCUCUCCAGUCUAUAAUAGGUGAUAUGACUCUCUCCAGUCUAUAAUAGGUGGAGAUAGAUCAUCUCUGUGAUGCGUCUUCUUUCAGUUUGAUCCAAUCAGUGUGUUAAUGUAAUCAGUGUGUUAAUUGAAUCUGGAGCCAGGGGAUGCUGCUGGUCAUAUGAGAGCCAUUAUACUGACUUUAAUAGGGGCAGCGUGAGCUGAGGAGCUGUGGGCUUGCCUCCCAAAUGACACCCUAUUCCCUAUAUAGGGAAUAGGGCUUUGGUCUAUAGUAGUGCACUAUAUAGGGAAUAGGGCUCUGGUCUAUAGUAGUGCACUAUAUAGGGAAUAUGGCUCUGGUCUAUAGUAGUGCACUAUAUAGGGAAUAGGGCUCUGGUCUAUAGUAGUGCACUAUAUAGGGAAUAGGGCUCUGGUCUAUAGUAGUGCACUAUAUAGGGAAUUAUGGCUCUGGUCUAUAGUAGUGCACUAUAUAGGGAAUAGAGCUCUGGUCUAUAGUAGUGCACUAUAUAGGGAAUAGGGCUCCAUUUGGAAUGCAGGGCUUGAGGAGAGGGAAACUAACAUUUCAAUGUUCCCGAUUCUGUAAUCAAGUCAAAAUAUAACCAGUAGAUGACAGUGGUAAUUAAUCCGUCAAUCCUUAUUUGACUAAACUGCUGAAGAGUAACGGGUACUGUACACGACUAAGUAGGAGACAGACUUUUUUGACAACCGUAUGACAAUAACCAUAGGAGUUGCCAAGACAACCAACAAUGAGAUUAAACACAAGUUCCUGCCUGAAUGUCAUGAUGUCACCAGUCUGGGCGGCAUUACAUCUGGUCCUUGAGGAGGACAGGACAUUUUGUUCACAUUCUGCUGACUUGUUUGUAGUGUCUCAAUAUGACCCUAUAUGAAGACAGAGGCUCCAUCCAAAAUGGAACCCCAUAGUCCCUAGUAGUGCGUCAUUUCAGAUGUGUCCAGUGGGUGUGAGAUCUGAAGGGCCUGUUCCAUAGACAUUGGCCUGUCCAUGUUGUAAUAAAGCUGUCAGUGUGUUAGACCACGAGCUAUGAUGAGACACACAGCAAAGGGCGGAGGAGACAGGCCAGGGUAACGUCUUGGGGGAAUCACACCCAAGUUACAGAAGGCUUGAGGUUAGGGCUGAGAGCCAGUCAUGGGGAAUGGAGAGGAGAGACUCCUGAGGACAUUAUUAAGAAGUACCAUUGUGGUGAUUGGUCUUCUGUUAACUCUGGUAACGAUGCUCUCUUCUUCAGAGUUGAACUGUCAUGUACUUCUGUCUCAAAGAUGGACUGUCAUUGACAGGGAAUCUAAUUUACACCACAGUCAGUUUCACGCUCCAUGACAAGGUGAACAUGUCACCCUAGACCUCAUUUUAGUAGCUUGUUAUGACAUCUUAGGGCCAGUUUCCCCAGACACAAAGUAAGCCCAGUCUUAAAUAUAUAAGUGCUCUCAGGCCUGAUUUAAUCCGUACGUGGGAAACCAGUCCUUGGAGCCUAAAUGUUCUACCUCUUGACCACUCCCUUAUUUAAUCACUGUUACAACA